UGGUGGUAAUAGCGCGGUGGUCCCACCUGACCCCAUGCAUGCUGAACUCAGAAGUGAAAUGCCGUAGCGCCGAUGGUAGUGUGGGGUCUCCCCAUGUGAGAGUACG
rnacentral:rRNA from 1 species